rnacentral:rRNA from 1 species
AGUGAACGCUGGCGGUAGGCCUAACACAUGCAAGUCGAACGGCAGCACAGUAAGAGCUUGCUCUUACGGGUGGCGAGUGGCGGACGGGUGAGGAAUACAUCGGAAUCUACUUUUUCGUGGGGGAUAACGUAGGGAAACUUACGCUAAUACCGCAUACGACCUACGGGUGAAAGCAGGGGAUCUUCGGACCUUGCGCGAUUGAAUGAGCCGAUGUCGGAUUAGCUAGUUGGCGGGGUAAAGGCCCACCAAGGCGACGAUCCGUAGCUGGUCUGAGAGGAUGAUCAGCCACACUGGAACUGAGACACGGUCCAGGCUCCUACGGGAGGCAGCAGUGGGGAAUAUUGGACAAUGGGCGCAAGCCUGAUCCAGCCAUACCGCGUGGGUGAAGAAGGCCUUCGGGUUGUAAAGCCCUUUUGUUGUGAAAGAAAAGCAGCAGGUUAAUACCCCGCUGUUCUGACGGUACCCAAAGAAUAAGCACAGGCUAACUUCGUG